GAUCAGGCUCAGGACGAACGCUGGCGGCGCGCCUAACACAUGCAAGUCGAACGAGAGAGAGGGAGCUUGCUUCCUUGAUCGAGUGGCGAACGGGUGAGUAACGCGUGAGGAACCUGCCUCAAAGAGGGGGACAACAGUUGGAAACGACUGCUAAUACCGCAUAAGCCCACGGCUCGGCAUCGAGCAGAGGGAAAAGGAGCAAUCCGCUUUGAGAUGGCCUCGCGUCCGAUUAG
rnacentral:rRNA from 1 species